rnacentral:rRNA from 1 species
GGAAUUGACGGGACCCCGCACAAGCGGUGGAUCAUGUUGUUUAAUUCGAUGAUACGCGAAGAACCUUACCAGGUCUUGACAUCCCCCGCGAUGCUUUAGAGAUAAAGCGGAGGUAUUCGGGGAGACAGGUGGUGCAUGGUUGUCGUCAGCUCGUGUCGUGAGAUGUUGGGUUAAGUCCCGCAACGAGCGCAACCCCUAUUGCUAGUUACCAUCAUUAAGUUGGGGACUCUAGCGAGACUGCCAGUGAUAAACUGGAGGAAGGUGGGGAUGACGUCAAAUCAUCAUGCCCCUUAUGACCUGGGCUACAAACGUGAUACAAUGGCUGGAACAAAGGGAUGCGAAGCAGUGAUGUAGGAGCGAAACCCAUAAAAACAGUCUCAGUUCGGAUUGAAGUCUGCAACUCGACUUCAUGAAGUCGGAAUCGCUAGUAAUCGCGGAUCAGAACGCCGCGGUGAAUACGUUCUCGGGGUUU